rnacentral:lncRNA from 1 species
GAUUUUUAAUUAUGUCCAACUCUUGAACAUAUUUGUCAGAGAGGAUGACAGAGACAAAUAAAACAUGUCCAACUCUUGGACACAAAAGAUCAAAAAAGAUGUCCAACUCUUGGACACUAGAAUAAGUGAGAGAGAGAGAGUUUUACCUUUCAAAACAACCAACCAUUGGUUGUUAAAAAGAAGGAUAGGAAGAAGAUGAGGCAUCCC